UGCGGUCCCUGGAGUGCCGAGACACCGUUCCAGAUACGGGCCACAGACGUGGGGCAGCGACCACACAGACGCGCCAGGCCUACCAGCAGGCUAUGCAGGUCUUCCAAGAUGGCGCAUGGACUGUGCACCAGCAUGGACUUGAAGCAACGCUGUUGGCAGACAAAGAAGAAUCAUUUGAAGAUUUCAUCAUUCCAACAUCCCUAGAAAAGAAAAUGUGACAGAAGAGCCCUUGUCGCAGGUGAUCACUGACUCUCCUUCGAACAUCUCCAGCAGGCAGAUUGGGCAGGUGCUGGCGUCGUCACCUUCCCUAAACUCCUAACCUAAAAAGAAGAAGAAGAAGAAGGCAGCAGCAUUUGAGGUCAUCUUACACAUCAUGACUGCCUGUUUUUGAUGUGCU